UGAAAUGAUCAGGGAAGCCGAUAUUGAUGGAGACGGUACCGUGAAUUACGAAGAAUUUGUCAAAAUGAUGACCAACAAGUAGAAUGCGAAGGUGCAAUGUCGUAAAGAGCAGUUCAGAUGUUAUAUUAUUUUACGCAAAACAAUUUAUUAUUGCAUUCUUUUUAAAGAUGUGACAUAUGUCAUAUAAUAAUGCAUGAUAAGAUUAAUGUGUUAUUUAGACUUUUUUAGCGUUUAUGAACAUUUGUGAUAAUAAACACGUGUCUUGAACAUGAAGACAUUGC
rnacentral:misc_RNA from 1 species